CCCACUUGGGCUAUCAGAAUCCCCAAAUUUUAACAUUUGGUGUAAUAUAAUUCUUGCUAUAUAAAGGGACAUUGAACUCUUUUCUCAAAGCUAUAGAAAAAUUAUAUAUUAUUAGGUCAGGGCUAGAAAUAUUUUGAUAAAAUGGUGAAGAUGUUUUGGAGUUAGUAAAAAGAUUAAGGAAUCGACAAAAAUAUUUUGAUUAAGACAUUUUCGAGGAUCGUUGAGAGAGAAAAAAAGAGACUAAACAAACAAGGAGAUCUAAAAGAUGAGGUGAAAAAGAGGAUUUUAUAAAAUAUUGAGGGAGAGAGCAAGUUGAUGAUGAUUGUUGUCGAUGGUGGAUUUAAAGGUUGAUGGUGAUGAUGAUACUUUGUUACAUUUCAGGGUUGACUUGUGUGUAUCAUGUAUUAAUUUCCUGCUUCAUUUUGUAAAUUAGGUUAUCGGAUACUUUAUUUAGAGCUAACCAUGAAUCUGGUUGCGCUUCUUUCAACCUUCAUGCUCUUUACUGGAGUAUUUUCAGAAAGUUGAGGCCUGCUAUUGUUAGUGUGGGAGCUAUAUUCUCAUUCAGUACUAUUAAUGGAAAAGUUUCAAAAAUUGCCAUGAAGGCUGCUCAAGAUGAUAUAAAUUCUGAUCCAAGUUUUCUUGGUGGAACAAAAUUGGCUAUAUAACCUUGAAUGAUUCCAAUUACAGUGGAUUUCGGAGUAUCAUGGGAGCAUUACAGUUCAUGAAGACUGAUAGUGUAGCGAUAAUUGGCCCGCAGAGUGCUGUAAUGGCUCAUGUCCUCUCCCAUCUUGCAAAUGAAUUCCAUGUCCCUCUGUUGUCAUUCACAGCUCUUGAACCGAGUCUAUCGUCUCUCCAGUACCCUUACUUUGUUCAAACAGCACCAAAUGAUCUUAUACCAGAUGACAGCCAUUGCAGAGAUGGUAAGUUACUAUGGUUGGGCUGAUGUUGUCGCUGUUUUCAAUGAUGAUGAUCAGAGCCGAAAUAGCAUAAUCACAUUGGGUGAUAAGCUGGCAGAGAGACGCUGCAAAAUUUCAUAUAAAGCAGUUCUUCCUCCUGCUCCAGCAGUAACUCAAAGUCAGAUCACAAGUGAGUUAGUUAAGAUCCAACUGACGGAAUCUCGGGUUAUUGUUCUAAACACAGUCUCUGAAGCAGGUCUGAUGAUUUUUGACAUUGGCAAAAGACUUGGAAUGCUGCAGGAUGGGUAUAUUUGGAUAGCUACUACUUGGUUGUCACUAGAUUCAAAUUCACCACUUCAUUCAGACACUGCAAGCUCUAUCCAAGGAGCUCUCACACUUCGACCACACACACCUGAUUCAAAAAGGAAAAGAUAUUUUAUGGAACGGUGGAGCAAGCUGAGUAAUGGCUCCAUUGGGUUCAACCCUUAUGGUCUGUAUGCCUAUGAUACUGUCUGGUUGAUUGCAAGAGCCAUAAAAUUGCUUUUAGAUCAAGGACAAACCAUUUCAUUCUCCAAUGACACAAAAUUAAGCAACCUAGGACAAGGAACAAUUAACUUUGCUGCAUUGAGCAUAUUUGAUGGAGGGCAGGAGCUACUUCAUAAGAUUUUGCAGACUAAUAUGACUGGUCUUACGGGUCCAAUUCAAUUUAAUUCAGAUAGAUCUCUGAUUAAUCCUUCAUAUGAUAUUAUUAAUGUACUUGAAACUGGGUAUAAGCAGAUUGGAUACUGGUCUAUUCAUUCUGGGCUAUAUGAAAAGCCACCUAAUAGAUCCACUUCAAACAAACAUUUGUACAGUGUGGUAUGGCCUGGAGGAGUGACAAGGAAACCUCGUGGAUGGGUUUUUCGACGCAAUGGAAAACAAUUAAGAAUUGGAGUGCCAGAUCGAGUUAGUUAUCGGGACUUUGUUUCAAGAGCCAAUGGUACCAAUAUUAUUCGUGGAUAUUGUAUAGAUAUAUUCCUUUCUGCCAUAAGAUUACUUGAAUAUGCAGCUCCAUAUGAGUUCAUUCCAUUUGGGGAUGGUCAUAAGAAUCCUAACUAUUAUGAACUUGUUAAUGGUCUAACUUCUGAGGUAUUUGAUGCUGUUAUAGGUGACAUUGCUAUCGUCACAGAUCGAACAAAGAUAGUAGAUUUCACUCAGCCAUAUAUAGAAUCAGGGCUUGUUGUGGUGGCCCGAGUCAGGAAGUUGAACUCAAAUGCUUGAUUAUUCUCGCGCCCAUUGACUGCACCCAUGUGGGCAGUUACAGCGGCUUUUUUCUUUAUUAUUGGAGCAGUUGUGCGGAUACUUGAGCACAGAAUGAACGACGAAUUCCGGGGAUCUCCUAAGCAACAAAUCAUCACAAUUCUGUGGUACUUUGUCUAGGCCCUCACAGCCGCAGGCACCUAUCUCUAGUGCCUUCACCAGUUGUAAGUCAGCCUAUAUCUGCAUGCAACACAACCGUGCACUGUAAAGUCCUGCGCCACUCUACUCCAGCAGCCACUGCUCUCUAUGGCAGCAUUGCACAUCCAGCUGGGAAUCUGCCACUACUACCUGCUCCAGCCACUCAGACACCUUGCUUCGUUAUACUGCAUCACCAAUCACCAGCUACGGCGGUUCCUUUGUGGCCAUUGUCCUUGUUGUCCAGCCACAACAAUCACUACAUUUCACCUAUUGAACCAGUCUUAAUUGCCUAAUUUUUCUUGGUCAUGUCAAAAGAAAUCACUGGCGCUAGUUUCGACAUGUCAACUUCAGAUUUUAAUAAAUUCAAACUAGAGAUUGAAAAAUUAAGAACUAUAAUUGAGUCCUUAGAGAAAUUCACAGGUAUUGAAUUACUCGCACAACUCAGGUACAUUUUCUAUUUCACAUGGACUAAAUACUUCAUGUGGACUAAAUGCUUCACAUGGGCUAAAUGUCUCAUAUAGACCCUCUGCAUUGUCCUCAAUUAUAAACUUGGGAGCCAUAGAUCACAUGACCAACUCCUUUAAAUAACUUUAAAACCUAUGUCCCAUGUUCCAAUAGGAAGAAAAUAGUUAUUGCCGAUGGUUCCCUGACCAUUGUUGCAGGAGUUGGAAAUAUAAAGGUUAAUCCUCACUUUGUACUUACUAAGGUUUUUCAUGUUUUCAAGUUAUGAACAAAUGAGCUCUAAAUAGGAGAUGCAUCUUUUUUUAAAAAUAAAAAGUAUAAAGUGUAUCAUUAAUUACAUGCACCAAAGAGAUGCCAACACAUAUAUAAGAUUAUUUACAUAUCAACCAAUAUAUCAAUAAGGUCUCAUAAAUUCUCCAUGGAGUAUAAGAGUUUACUCAUAACAAAGAACUCAGAGUAUGGAAGCAUCUAAUUCUAACCUUAUCGAGAUCCUGUUCCACCCCAUCAAAUGCUCUUCUUUUUUUUUCUUUUCAUACCAUCCAAAAGAUUAUAAGUGAAAUGAAACCCAAAUAUUUUUUUCCAUCGCUAGUAUCCUUCCAUAACUAAAUCUCAUACCUUAUAAUACCAGUCGUUAUCUAACUAAUCCUCAGUAGUCCAUAUACCAUAGACUAUAGGUGGUAGGGUAAUUCUGAUUCAGGCAUAUCUUUUCAGUAUACCACUCUAGUUCCUAUCUUUUAUAAGGUCACUGGGAGGCAGCUGAGAGAUUGGAGGGGUGCAUGAGAAGGUUCAUAUGGUCUGCGGUUGGGAAAGAGAAUCGGGAUUUUCUGUUAGCUGGGAAAGGUGUCUUCAAUCCAAGUGUUCAAGGGGAUUGGAGAUUGGAAAUCGGGAAUCUUAGAUCAAAUUUUUUUUAUCAUUUUGACUAAAUGGUUUUGGUGCUUUUCAUGGAUCUGCAUAUUUCAUGGUACAUGGUCAUAAACAGUAUCUACAGGAGUGGAAGGGACAAAUGGGAUGUCAAAGUAUGUUCAUCCCACAGAUCCUAUUUAUGAAGCACUCAGAUUCAGAGAGAAGUACAAUUCACCUAAUAUAUGUUGAUGAUGUCUCUGAAAUAGGGGACAAAUUAGAAAAGAAAAAUUGAGACUCAAACAACACCUCACAGAAGAGUUUGAGAUCAUGGAGUUAGAAAAUUUGAAGUAUUUCAUUCAAAUUAAAGUUGACCACUCAAAAUCAGGAAUCUUCAUCUCACAGUAGAAGUACAUCAAUGACAUAUUAAGGGAUACUGACAAGCCAACAUGUAAAUCAGCUAAUACUCCAAUUGAUGACAAUCAUAAAUUGGGACUAGUAAAAGAGGAUACACCAAUAAUAAGAGAAUAUAUUAGAUAUUUGUUGGAAGAUUAAUGUACCUAUCAUACACAAGAGCAGAUAUUGCCUACGCAGUGAGUGCGAUAAGUUACUUGUACUUGCUUCCUUCUCUACUAAUAUUGAGAAAAUAUAAAAGUCAACGUGUUUUUACAUGUUAACUCACGCAACAAAACUAGAUUGCAAAUCUUUAUAUGGAUAUAUAAUCAGGUCUCUCUUUCUCACUCUUGAGCACUUUCUUUUGAGAGGACACAAUUUAUGAGAGGCACCAAUAAGGUGCCCUCUAAAACAAGAUAUACAGCAUUCACAAGUUUCUCAAAGACAACAUAUCAAAAAGGUCAACAAUAUCAGCCUAUCUUUGAUGAGAUGACUUUUCCCAAGAAGCAAGGAGUCCCCAACCAAUGAUUCCUUACUGUGGCAUAAGGGGAAGAAUUGUCUAAGACUCACUCUUCAAUGCUUGUACGCCCACAUUGCCCAUAUAUUAUGAGCACAUUCCUCAGGUAGAACUGAUGGACAUUUGUUGUAUCAUGUUUAAAAUUCAGAAAAGCUCUAAUAUUUGCUAGAAUUUAGAGCAUAUUUUUCCUAAAUAGGUCUUCUCCUAUAUAGUUAGUUUCUAGUUUAUAGCUUUUCCUUUUCUUCACAUAGGGAUCCCUAUAAAUACCAUGUACAUUUUGUUUCCAGCUUAUAAUACGGUUUAAGUAUUUCCUUCAACAAUAUGUAAUCAAGAAGCCUCUUUUUGAUAAUAAAGGUUAAGUAUUUCCAACUUAUAAUACAGUUUUAAGUAUUUCCUUCAACAAUAUGUAACUAAAAAGCCUCCUUUUGAUAAACCACCAACUUAUUGCAGAGACAAGGUGCGUGUGUUUUGUUUAGGGGGUGGGGAAGGU